AGACCAUGUGGAGUCACAGUGUAUAGCAGGUCCCUGGUGCACUGACCUUGGACUGCGGAGGAGCCCUGAUGGUCCAGAUACAGUCGAGGGCUUCUCCAGCCUUUACUUUCUCCUCCUCAUCCACCUGACUGGAGCGGAUAACACCGUCAGAGCCUCCGAUCUCAAACUGGCAGUCUGCACACAUGGGAGAGAAGGAGAGAGGUCCGACAGGUGAAGGGUGAACAAUCAUCAUAGCAUUGAGGUUUGUGCAGAAGCCAAAGACCAAGAGCCCCAACAAACCAGAACAUCAAUACCAACUAUAUAGACAAGGGGAUUUAAUUAGAUUCCUAUAAAAGCAGCUCUAGAUGUAUCCUUUGAAGUGCUCUUAAAUGAGGAGCAUUAGUAUUCAGUGAAGGAUCUUUACCUGCUACAAAGGUGUACUUGAUGCGGAACCCAAGGCCCUCUAACUCUUCAUCACUACUGAACUUGAUCCACAUGAACCUGCCUGUGGACAGGACCAUGCCUGGGUUCUUUCCUCCACAGAAGCGGUCGAUGAGAGGGGAGAAACCAAACGGACCAUCCCGCACUUCGAUGUGGUCAAAGCGGCACUCAAAAGAUGGCUCUAUGUAGUAGUUCUUGUCGAAAACCAGCUGGAUCCUUUGUCUGGGGAGAGCUGUUUGAUGCAAAGGAAAACAGCAAGAAAGAAGAAAUGAACAAAUUAAAUCUGUCUUUUGUGGAACUGUUCAGUCAAAAAUGAAAACCAAGCAUGCUGUGUGGAGUGGAAACUCUGUAAAAGCAAUUACCAACAGAGUCUGACAAUUAAAGCGCAUGUCAAUAAGAACUGCUGAACUGGGGUAGACACAUUGCAUAGUUAAGAAUAAGCCUUCUUUAGAAAUUAAUUUCUUAUUUUGAUAGUUACACCAAGCAGUUUUAAAUGAUUUUAUCCCAUGUAAACAAAUGAUAAAAUGACAUUCUUUAA